CGGCAACAGCUCAAAUUUGAAAUCUGGCGCAAGCCCGAGUUGUAAUUUGUAGAGGAUGCUUUGGGUACGGUGCCUUCCGAGUUCCCUGGAACGGGACGCCAUAGAGGGUGAGAGCCCCGUACGGCUGGCGGCCAAGCCCAUGUAAAGCUCCUUCGA
rnacentral:rRNA from 1 species